UACGGAGGGUGCGAGCGUUAAUCGGAAUUACUGGGCGUAAAGCGCACGCAGGCGGCUUGUUAAGCUAGAGGUGAAAGCCCCGCGCUCAACGUGGGAACUGCCUUUAGAACUGGCAGGCUAGAGUCUUGGAGAGGGGAGUGGAAUUCCAGUGUAGCGUGGAAUGACGGUAGAAUAUCUGGGGAAGACAUCA
rnacentral:rRNA from 1 species